UGACCUAUAUAUCAUGCUAUUAAAAUUAAUUCAAAAUAAACAUCACAUAAAAGCUAAAAUUAUAAAGAUUUUUUUUAAAAAAAUUCAGAGCAGUGUGAAGAAGAAGGCAACAACAACCUCCAGAUCAACCAAAGCCCGUGAGUCACUGCAUCCCUGUGAUCAGUGCCCACAUCCCACCACUGAUGCCACCAUGCCCACGAGAAGGAUUGAAGGGGAUAGAUACUAAACGAGAUAAAGCCAAUGUGAAGGAUAAACCACAGAGAAAAUCCACAAGGUUGUCUGCUAAACCUGCUCCUCUAAAACCAGGGCCAAAGCCAAAAAAGGCCCUUGGUAAAGAAAGGAAAGAAGGUACCCAAAGCGGGUAAGGGGAAUAACCCUGCAGAAAAUGGAAAUGCCAAAACAGAGCAGGCACUGAAAGCUGAAGCUGCCGGAGAUACCAAGUGAAGUGUGUGCAUUUUUGACAACUGUGGACCUCUGGUGA
rnacentral:lncRNA from 1 species